UACAGAGGCCUCAAGCGUUAUCCGGAAUUACUGGGCGUAAAGGGUGUGUAGGCGGCAUAGUUAGUCGGAUGUUAAAGUCCGGGGCUCAACCCCGGGUCCGCGUCCGAAACGGCUAAGCUAGAGAGUGUGAGAGGUGUACGGAACCCAUAGUGUAGGGGUGAAAUCCGUUGAUAUUAUGGGGAACACCGAAAGCGAAGGCAGUACACUGGCGCAUUUCUGACGCUGAAACACGAAACCCUGGGUAGCGAAAGGG
rnacentral:misc_RNA from 1 species